GAGGGUUGAAGGUGCUGCCCACGGCUCUUGGAGUCUCAACAUUCUGGUCAACGGUUUUUUUCCAUUCUCUCCCUCCACUUCCUGAGUGAGCAGCCAUAAGUUGGACAGUGCUUGUUGUGUGGGCCAUCCAGAGUGUGAGCUCAGCAGGAGCGAAUUUCUUGUGCCUGGGGAUGGCCCUGUGACCCCGUCCGGCAGCGCAGAUGCCACUCAAGCGCGCCUGGCUCUUCACCACCGUGAGCAAGACGGCGACUGUGAAGAGUGAGCUUAUUGAGCGCUUCAGUUCCGAGGAGCCGGUUCAUCACAGUAAGGUCACCGUCAUAGGAACUGGAUCGGUGGGCAUGGCCUGCGCUAUCAGCAUCUUAUUAAAAGGCUUGAGUGAUGAACUUGCCCUUGUGGAUCUUGAUGAAGGCAAACUGAAAGGGUGAGACAGUGGAUCUUCAACAUGGCAACCCUUUCAUGAAAAUGCUGAAUAUUGUUUGUAGCAAAGAUUACCUUGUCACAGCAAACUCCAAUCUAGUGAUUAUCACAGCAGGUGCAUGCCAAGAAAAGGGAGAAACGCGCCUUAAUUUAGUCCGGCAAAAUGUGGCCAUCUUCAAGUUAAUGACUUCUAGUAUUGUCCAGUACAGCCCCCUCUGCAAACUGAUUAUUGUUUCCAAUCCAGUGGAUAUCUUAACGUAUGUAGCCUGGAAGUUGAGUGCAUUUCCCAGAAACCGUGUUAUUGGAAGUGGCUGUAAUCUGGAUACUGCUCAUUUUCGUUUGUUGAUUGGACAAAAGCUUGGUAUCCAUUCUGAAAGCUGCUGUGGAUGGAUCCUCGGAGAGCAUGGAGACUCGUGUUCCUGUGUGGAGUGGAGUGAACAUAGCCGGUGUCCCUUUGAAGGAUCUGAACUCUGAUACAGGAACUGACAAAGAUCCUGAGCAAUGGAAAAGUGUCCACAAAGAAGUGACUGCUAGUGCCUAUGAGAUUAUCAAAAUGAAAGGCUAUACUUCUUGGGCCAUUGGCCUGUAUGUAGCUAAUUUAACAAAGUAUUUUGAAGAAUAUUAGGAGAACACAUCCAGUUUCCACCACAAUUAAGGGCCUCUAUGGAAUAGAUGAAGAAGUAUUCCUCAGUAUUCCUUGUAUCCUGGGAGAGAAUGGUAUUACCAACCUAAUAAAGAUAAAGCUGACCCCUGAAGAGGAGGCCCAUCUGAAAAAGAGUGCAAAAACACUUUGGGAAAUUUAGAAGGAGCAUAAGCUUUAAAGUGGUCCAAAACUACCAUUCUGAAAGUAUUGAAGAGAUCAUAGAUACAGGAUUAUAUAUCAGAAUUUUUAAUAAACUUGAAUUCCUAAAAGAUGGAAACAGGAAAGUGGAUAGAGUGACUUUCCUAUUUAUUUAGCAUCCAGGUGCUGGACGAAACUUACUUACAAUUCCUAAAGAAGUGUUUUUGGUACCUCUGAUGUAGCAGCACUUACCUUGUUAUAUAUAUGUAGUUGGCAUUUGGUUCCCAAAAAGUAGGAUGUAGGUAUUAUUGUGUUCUGGAAAUUCUGAUUCUUUUCAUUAGAUAUAUGCUAUUUCUUUCAUUCUUACUGGUUUAUACCUAUGUUCAUGUAUAUGCUGUAAAAAAAAGUGGUAGCUUCCUCUACAAUGUAAAACUAAAAGUAUUUACAU